rnacentral:rRNA from 1 species
AGCAGUGGGGAAUAUUGCACAAUGGGCGCAAGCCUGAUGCAGCAACGCCGCGUGAGGGACGAAGGCCUUCGGGUUGUAAACCUCUUUUAGUAGGGAAGAAGCGACUGGGUUUUCCUGGGAGUGACGGUACCUGCAGAAAAAGCACCGGCUAACUACGUGCCAGCAGCCGCGGUAAUACGUAGGGUGCAAGCGUUGUCCGGAAUUAUUGGGCGUAAAGAGCUCGUAGGCGGUUUGUCGCGUCUGCUGUGAAAACCCGAGGCUCAACCUCGGGCCUGCAGUGGGUACGGGCAGACUAGAGUGCGGUAGGGGAGAUUGGAAUUCCUGGUGUAGCGGUGGAAUGCGCAGAUAUCAGGAGGAACACCAAUGGCGAAGGCAGAUCUCUGGGCCGUAACUGACGCUGAGGAGCGAAAGCAUGGGGAGCGAACAGGAUUAGAUACCCUGGUAGUCCAUGCCGUAAACGUUGGGAACUAGAUGUGGGGACCAUUCCACGGUCUCCGUGUCGCAGCUAACGCAUUAAGUUCCCCGCCUGGGGAGUACGGCCGCAAGGCUAAAACUCAAAGGAAUUGACGGGGGCCCGCACAAGCGGCGGAGCAUGCGGAUUAAUUCGAUGCAACGCGAAGAACCUUACCAAGGCUUGACAUAUACCGGAAACGGCUGGAAACAGUCGCCCCGCAAGGUCGGUAUACAGGUGGUGCAUGGUUGUCGUCAGCUCGUGUCGUGAGAUGUUGGGUUAAGUCCCGCAACGAGCGCAACCCUCGUCCUAUGUUGCCAGCACGUAAUGGUGGGAACUCAUGGGAUACUGCCGGGGUCAACUCGGAGGAAGGUGGGGAUGACGUCAAAUCAUCAUGCCCCUUAUGUCUUGGGCUUCACGCAUGCUACAAUGGCCGGUACAAAGGGAUGCGAUACCGCAAGGUGGAGCGAAUCCCAAGAAGCCGGUCUCAGUUCGGAUUGAGGUCUGCAACUCGACCUCAUGAAGUCGGAGUCGCUAGUAAUCGCAGAUCAGCUACGCUGCGGUGAAUACGUUCCCGGGCCUUGUACACACCGCC